rnacentral:lncRNA from 1 species
UAUUUGCAAGUGACUAUUCCUCUUUUGUUUGUUGAUAUUUGUUAAUAAGGUUUAAGUGCCUUUGAACGGGAUGUGGUAGUAGGUGCCAGGCGCAACGGUUUGAGUGUGUCAAGAACUGCAGUACUGCCGGGUUUUUCACGCUAAACAGAUUCCUGUGUGUUUGAAUGGUCCACCACCCAAAGGACAUUCAUCAAACUUGACACAACUGUGGGAAGCAUUGGGGUCAACAUGGGCCAGCAUCCCUGUGGAACGCUUUCGACAUCUUGUAUGCCCAACGAAGUCCAUGCCCAACGAAUUGUGGCUGUUCUGAGGGCAAAAGGGGGGUGCAACUGAAUAUUAGGAAGGUGUUCCUAAUGUUUUGUACACUCAGUGUAUACAGUAAUUGGUAGGCGCAAGUCAGACAAUGCAACACACUUUGAAAAUGCAACACACUUUGAAAGGCGUUGACCAAGAAUGGUUACGGAGUUGACAAAAGACAUCCGCUAGAACGCGCCUAUUGACUUGAACGUUGACAAACACAUUCUAUUCAUUCUAUUUCUAUUUUACCUUCGUGUGAGACCAAGCCGCGCAAGUGUUACCAUGGUGACCAGUGAGCGUUCAGGAAGGGAUUGUGAAUCCAACAGCUAAAUUGCGUAGGUUUGAAACCAUAAUCUAUUUUUGGCUAAUUGUACUAGAGUAAUGGGCUUCUAGGCUGGUUCUUCGAACUAUUAUUUGGACAAAAUAUGAGUUCACGUAGUACUAAAAGUUCAGGGAAAACUGGAACCAUGGCACGGUCGAAGGGAGCAGUCCAAUCAUCAGAGGCAGGUGCCUCCCCCCAGCGCAGACAGAGCACUGGUGUGACCCAGGGUGGCCAGUCCAAAGGCAAAGCUGCUGCUGCCAAGACAAGACGUAACACCUCUGCCAGUGCCAAGACAGUGCAACCACCAAAGAAAAGUACUGCUCUGCAUUGCUCAUUCUUAUCAUGCCAAAUUAGUCAAUUUACCUUUAGCUUACUUCCAUUGCAACAAUGUAAAGAAGUGCUGAUUUGAUUGUCCUCAUAUACCUAGGCCUUAGUCAUCAGUUGAGAUCUGUGUGUCUAAUGCUUGUGUAGUAUAAGUGAAACUCGCCCGUAGUAUGUUGGCUGAGGUACAUUGGUGACAGGAUACUUCCCUGAGAUCUAAAAAGCUGCUGUCGCUCAGGGCAUGAUAGACUAUAUUGUGUUGCUUGAUUUAUGAGAAAGCCAGUUAAGCAUGCUCAUCUCAAGUUAGGACUCGACCAGAAGAGAAUAAUAAUUGCCUCCAGAGUGGUGCAGUGGUCUAAGGCACUGCAUUGCAGUGCUAGCUGUGCCACUAGAGUCCGGACUCUGUUGCAGCCGUCUGCGACUGGGAGACCCAUGGGACAGCGCACAAUUGGCACAGCGUCGUCCUAGUUAGGGGAGGGUUUGGCCCGGCAGGGAGGUUCUUGUCCCAUCGCGCACUAGUGACUCCUGUGGCUGGCUGGGCGCUGACAUGGUCGCUAGGUGUAUGGUGUUUCCGUCGACACAUUGGUGCGGAUGGCUUCCGGGUUAAGUGGGCAUUGUGUCAAGAAGCAGUGUGGCUUGGUUGUGUUUCGGAGGACGCACGCCUCUCCCGAGUCCAUACGGGAGUUGCAGUGAUGAGACAAGACUGUAACUACCAAUUGGAUACCAUGAAAAAGGGGUGGGAAAAAAAGGAGAGAAUAAUAAUUUUUCCCUAGGAUCGGCUGUGUUCUUCUUACCGGGGACAGUGUGCAAUCACACAUUCAUAAACCACCCUGGAGUUCAAAAGAAUGAACACAUUGCUUACAUUACACAACUGUCUGUUACUCUUCAUUACACCCAAGGGAGUCUGAUGUGGUCAAAGGAAAUUAUGCAAGCUUGAAAACAAUCCCUCAUUGUUUCCUGCAGUCACCACCCAAGGCACACAUGGGAGCAGUAGGAACUAUAGAGAAGGGAACAUCAACUACAUUCAGGCGCAAACACAUUUUUUCUUGAUCGGGGGCCGAAACAUAAUAAAAAAUAAAAAAUUUAGACUGCAAAUUUACCGCAAGAAGCAUAAACAGAUAUAAUAUUUGACUAAAACUGUCACGCCCUGACCUUAGAGAGCCUUUUAUUUCUCUAUUUGGUUAGGUCGGGGUGUGAUUUGGGUGGGCAUUCUAGUUUUUCUAUUUCUUUGUUGGCCGGGUAUGGUUCCCAAUCAGAGGCAGCUGUCUAUCGUUGUCUCUGAUUGGGGAUCAUACUUAUGGCAGCCUUUUUCCACCUUUAGUUUGUGGGAUCUUGUUUUUGUGUAGUUGCUUUCUGCACUGCAUAUAGCUUUACGUUCGUUUUGUAUUAUUAUUUUUUUUUCGGUGUCAUUUAAUAAAAGAAAGAUGUACGCCUACCACCCUGCCCCUUGGUCUCCUCAUUCCAUCAGCGAAAGUGACAAAAACCUUGAUUACAUUUGGAAACAUUGACCUGUGCAGGGUGCCGUCUUUCGGAUGGGACGUUAAAAUGGGUGUCCUGACUUUCUGUGGUCAUUCAAAAUCCCAAUGGGAUUUAUUGUAAGAGUAGGGGUGUACGCCCUGGUGUCAUGGCAAAAUUUCCAACCUGGCCACAUUCCAUCAUGGCCAUCUAAUCAUCCCCCUCAUUCCUAAUUGGCGUAUAUCACUCCUCACCUCUACACCUGAUAGUUGAUGUGUGGUGAGAGUUGGUCACCGUGCAUCAC